rnacentral:rRNA from 1 species
CAGCCGCCACGGUAAUACAGAGGGUGCAAGCGUUAAUCGGAAUUACUGGGCGUAAAGCGCGCGUAGGUGGUUUGUUAAGUUGGAUGUGAAAGCCCCGGGCUCAACCUGGGAACUGCAUCCAAAACUGGCAAGCUAGAGUACGGUAGAGGGUGGUGGAAUUUCCUGUGUAGCGGUGAAAUGCGUAGAUAUAGGAAGGAACACCAGUGGCGAAGGCGACCACCUGGACUGAUACUGACACUGAGGUGCGAAAGCGUGGGGAGCAAACAGGAUUAGAGACCCCUGUAGUCCCUGUCUCUUAUAC